ACAUGCCUACAACAUAGUGUUGAUGCACCAGAUCAAAUUAUAACUUUCCAGUUAAGAUCACUCAGGAUAGAGUAGUAUUGGGAUGGGUGAGCACCUGGGAAGUCCUAGUGUUUUACAUGCC
rnacentral:rRNA from 1 species